rnacentral:rRNA from 1 species
CUACUCCCAACCCAUGUGACUUACCAUUGUUGCCUCGGCAGAGCCUACCCGGUACCUACCCUGUAGCGCUUUGCCGGUGGACUUCUAAACUAUUGUUAUUUAUUGUAAUCUGAGCGUCUUAUUUUAAUAAGUCAAAACUUUCAACAACGGAUCUCUUGGUUCUGGCAUCGAUGAAGAACGCAGCGAAAUGCGAUAAGUAAUGUGAAUUGCAGAAUUCAGUGAAUCAUCGAAUCUUUGAACGCACAUUGCGCCCAUUAGUAUUCUAGUGGGCAUGCCUGUUCGAGCGUCAUUUCAACCCUUAAGCCUAGCUUAGUGUUGGGAGCCUACUUUUGAGUAGCUCCCCAAAUACAACGGCGGAUCUGUGGUAUCCUCUGAGCGUAGUAAUUUUUAUCUCGCUUUUGUUAGGUGCUGCAGCUCCCAGCCGCUAAACCCCCCAAUUUUUAAUGGUUGACCUCGGAUCAGGUAGGAAUACCCGCUGAACUUAAGCAUAUCAUANGNGGG